UACGAAGGGGGCUAGCGUUGUUCGGAAUCACUGGGCGUAAAGGGCGCGUAGGCGGCUUUUCAAGUCGGGGGUGAAAGCCUGUGGCUCAACCACAGAAUUGCCUUCGAUACUGUUAGGCUUGAGACCGGAAGAGGUGAGUGGAACUGCGAGUGUAGAGGUGAAAUUCGUAGAUAUUCGCAAGAACACCAGUGGCGAAGGCGGCUCACUGGCCCGAUACUGACGCUGAGGUGCGAAAGCGUGGGGAGCAAACAGG
rnacentral:rRNA from 1 species